rnacentral:rRNA from 1 species
CGGGAGGCAGCAGUAGGGAAUCUUCCGCAAUGGACGAAAGUCUGACGGAGCAACGCCGCGUGAGUGAUGAAGGUUUUCGGAUCGUAAAGCUCUGUUGUUAGGGAAGAACAAGUACCGUUCGAAUAGGGCGGUACCUUGACGGUACCUAACCAGAAAGCCACGGCUAACUACGUGCCAGCAGCCGCGGUAAUACGUAGGUGGCAAGCGUUGUCCGGAAUUAUUGGGCGUAAAGGGCUCGCAGGCGGUUUCUUAAGUCUGAUGUGAAAGCCCCCGGCUCAACCGGGGAGGGUCAUUGGAAACUGGGGAACUUGAGUGCAGAAGAGGAGAGUGGAAUUCCACGUGUAGCGGUGAAAUGCGUAGAGAUGUGGAGGAACACCAGUGGCGAAGGCGACUCUCUGGUCUGUAACUGACGCUGAGGAGCGAAAGCGUGGGGAGCGAACAGGAUUAGAUACCCUGGUAGUCCACGCCGUAACGAUGAGUGCUAAGUGUUACGGGGUUUCGCCCUUAGUGCUGCAGCUAACGCAUAAGCACUCGCUGGGGAG